rnacentral:rRNA from 1 species
AGCGAACGCUGGCGGCAGGCCUAACACAUGCAAGUCGAACGAACUCUUCGGAGUUAGUGGCGGACGGGUGAGUAACACGUGGGAACGUGCCUUUAGGUUCGGAAUAACUCAGGGAAACUUGUGCUAAUACCGAAUGUGCCCUUCGGGGGAAAGAUUUAUCGCCUUUAGAGCGGCCCGCGUCUGAUUAGCUAGUUGGUGAGGUAAAGGCUCACCAAGGCGACGAUCAGUAGCUGGUCUGAGAGGAUGAUCAGCCACAUUGGGACUGAGACACGGCCCAAACUCCUACGGGAGGCAGCAGUGGGGAAUCUUGCGCGAUGGGCGAAAGCCUGACGCAGCCAUGCCGCGUGAAUGAUGAAGGUCUUAGGAUUGUAAAAUUCUUUCACCGGGGACGAUAAUGACGGUACCCGGAGAAGAAGCCCCGGCUAACUUCGUG